UACGAAGGGGGCUAGCGUUGCUCGGAAUCACUGGGCGUAAAGGGUGCGUAGGCGGGUCUUUAAGUCAGGGGUGAAAUCCUGGAGCUCAACUCCAGAACUGCCUUUGAUACUGAAGAUCUUGAGUUCGGGAGAGGUGAGUGGAACUGCGAGUGUAGAGGUGAAAUUCGUAGAUAUUCGCAAGAACACCAGUGGCGAAGGCGGCUCUCUGGACCGACACUGACGCUGAGGCGCGAAAGCGUGGGGAGCAAACAGG
rnacentral:rRNA from 1 species